GGGGUUAUAGCUCAGUAGCACAGCGCUUGCCUAGCACGUAUGAGGCACUAAGUUCGAUCCUCAGGACCACA
rnacentral:tRNA from 1 species